rnacentral:lncRNA from 1 species
ACCUUUGAAAAAUGGAAGAAAUGGAAGUGUGGAAAGGAAGGGAAGGGGAAGGGCAAUUUAUAGAAUUUCGAAACAUGUUGAAUUUGUGCCAAGUGGUGAAAUUUGAUGAAGAGAGAAGAGAAAAGAUUCUUGGCAUGCAAAAUGAGGGACGAAAAUUUCCUCCACAGCAUCGGCGGUGUGCCGCCCAAGGUAGCAGCAGUGCGUU